GGGGAUUUGGCUCAGUGGUAGAGCGCUUGCCUAGGAAGCGCAAGGCCCUGGGUUCAAUCCCCAGCCCCG
rnacentral:tRNA from 1 species